rnacentral:rRNA from 1 species
CCUACGGGAGGCAGCAGUGGGGAAUAUUGGGCAAUGGGCGCAAGCCUGACCCAGCAAUGCCGCGUGAAGGAAGAAGGCUUUCGGGUUGUAAACUUCUUUGACAGGGGAAGAGCAGAAGACGGUACCCUGAAAACAAGCCACGGCUAACUACGUGCCAGCAGCCGCGGUAAUACGUAGGUGGCAAGCGUUGUCCGGAUGUACUGGGUGUAAAGGGCGUGUAGCCGGGAAGGCAAGUCAGAUGUGAAAUCUGGAGGCUCAACCUCCAAAUUGCAUUUGAAACUGUUUUUCUUGAGUACUGGAGAGGCAGACGGAAUUUCUUGUGUAGCGGUGAAAUGCGUAGAUAUCAGGAGGAACACCAGUGGCGAAGGCGGUCUGCUGGACAGCAACUGACGGUGAGGCGCGAAAGCGUGGGGAGCAAACAGGAUUAGAUACCCCUGUAGUC